CGGGGGGAGCAAGCGUUGUUCGGAUUUACUGGGCGUAAAGGGCGCGUAGGCGGCCAGCGCAAGUCAGUUGUGAAAUCUCCGGGCUUAACUCGGAAAGGUCAACUGAUACUGCGCGGCUAGAGUGCAGAAGGGGCAACUGGAAUUCUCGGUGUAGCGGUGAAAUGCGUAGAUAUCGAGAGGAACACCUGCGGCGAAGGCGGGUUGCUGGGCUGACACUGACGCUGAUGCGCGAAAGCCAGGGGAGCGAACGGGAUUAGAUACCCCGGUAGUCCUGGCCUUAAACGAUGGAUGCUUGGUGUCUGGAGUUUUAUAGUCUCCGGGUGCCGUAGCUAACGCGUUAAACAUCCCGCCUGGGGAGUACGGUCGCAAGACUG
rnacentral:rRNA from 1 species